rnacentral:rRNA from 1 species
GGAAUAUUGCGCAAUGGCCGAAAGGCUGACGCAGCGACGCCGCGUGGAGGAUGAAGUCCGUUAGGAUGUAAACUCCUUUUGGAGGGGAAGAAUGUCCCGAACUUGUUCGGGAUUGACGGUACCCUGCGAAUCAGGAUCGGCUAACUACGUGCCAGCAGCCGCGGUAAUACGUAGGAUCCGAGCGUUGUCCGGACUUCCUGGGGGUAAAGGGCGUGUAGGUGGGCCUUUAAGUCGGUGGUGAAAUCCUGCAGCUUAACUGUAGAAUUGCCGUCGAUACUGGAGGUCUUGAGUGCGGCAGAGGGAGACGGAAUUCAUGGUGUAGCGGUGAAAUGUGUAGAUAUCAUGAAGAACACCGGUAGCGAAGGCGGUCUCCUGGUCCGUUACUGACACUGAGGCGCGAAAGCGUGGGGAGCAAAC